rnacentral:rRNA from 1 species
AGAGUUUGAUCAUGGCUCAGGAUGGACGCUAGCUACAGGCUUAACACAUGCAAGUCGAGGGGAAACGACAUCGAAAGCUUGCUUUUGAUGGGCGUCGACCGGCGCACGGGUGAGUAACGCGUAUCCAACCUGCCCACCACUUGGGGAUAACCUUGCGAAAGUAAGACUAAUACCCAAUGACGUCUCUAGAAGACAUCUGAAGGAGAUUAAAGAUUUAUCGGUGAUGGAUGGGGAUGCGUCUGAUUAGCUUGUUGGCGGGGUAACGGCCACCAAGGCGACGAUCAGUAGGGGUUCUGAGAGGAAGGUCCCCCANAUUGGAACUGAGACACGGUCCAAACUCCUACGAGAGGCA